CCGGGUUCUACAAAAUGCUGAUGUGAGAAGACCAUCAAACAUCGGACGUUGCACGCGGCGGCUUCCAAACCGCUGUGUGUGCGUGGAAGUAUCCGUGUGUGCCGAGUAGUUGGAACAGCAUCCGUGGACCACCCCGUGCUCUGACAUUCACCUGUGAGACAUCCCAGAAACAGUCCGCCUGCCGUAGAAUGGGAAGCUCUGCAGCGACAGUGUCCUGGGAGUCGGGGGACCGAGACGCUGAUUUUGGGUUCCACCCAUUCCUGGCUGUUUGACUUCAGGCAAGGGACUUAGUCACCAGGGAACCUACUUUUCUCAUCUGUAAAAUGAGGAUAAUGACUCCUGCCUUCCUCGCAGGGAGGGCAGGAAGCUUCCUGAGAUCACCUCUCCAGAGCCUUUUGAUCUGCGUGAAAAAAACCUCCUUAAUUGCCCAACCAGGCACUUGAGCAGCUGGGCGAAAGUUUUACGACCCGAGAUUCCCACAGCCCAUAAUCCACAUGCUCCCAGAAGCCCUCUGAGGAGUUCAAUGACAGAUUCGGCUGGCAAGUGUUCUGCCGGGCCAUCAGCAGAGAUUUCUCAGAGACUUAGUCAUAGAAUAGGCGGUUUCCCAGGGGCGUCCUUGCCAAUGCUUCCACUUAUUUGUGUCGUAUUUCUUAAGAGUUCCUGUGCGCACGCGGCAAUUUCUCACCGCCCCCCGACUUGUCCGCACAGUCACCUCUGGCAUCAUGGACAGCUCUUGGCUACUUUAGCCUGGAUCUGCGCUCGGGCCUCUGGUUCCGGUUUGAAAAGCCUUCCGCAGGACAGCGGUUUACUGUAGCUCUUUGGUGCCCAGGAAGAGCCCUGCAUCGGGAGGAAGAUGGUGGAGGUACUGACUGUGGCUCUGCCUCUUGCUUCCAAGAGAACUUGGACAAGUCACGUGACUUCUCUGAUCUUCAGCGUUACCAUGUAGCAUCGGACAAGAUCUAGGGUUGGUUGUUCAAAUGUUUACAUUUAGCUUCUUUUUUUUUUUUUUUAAGUUGCAGAAUAUGUUGGUGACAAGAAAUCUUAAAAGUACCUCCAAAUACAAAAGAAGUACCGUAUUUGUUAAUGUAUCAUGGUGGCCAUGGAGGGCUCUGCUGAGCUUAAGUUUGGAAAUCAAUGCAUUAGAUAAUAACAAACUGCAUGAUUAUAUGAAGCCAAGAGGAUCAAUCAAUAUAUUAGUUUCCUAGGUAAAAAAAUUACCACACAUUUGAUGGCUUAAAACAACUGAAAUGCAUUGUCUCACGGUUCUGGAGACCAGAAGUUCAAAACCAAAGUGUCGGCAAGGUCACACCCACUCCAAAGACCAUACGGGAGAAUCCCUCCUUGCCCCUUCCUGAACUUCUGGUGGCUCUGACAACCUUGGCAUUCCUUGGCUUGUAGCUACAUCACACUGAUCUCUGCUUCUGUCUUCGCAUGGCCUCCUCCCCUGUGUUCUGUAUCUUCUCUUUUGUCUCUUCCAAGCACACAUGUCAUCGGAUUUAGGCCCCACCUGGAUAAUAUAGGAUGUUCUCCACCCAAGAUGCUUAACUUACAUGUGCAAAGACUCUUUUCCCAAUAAGAUCAUAGUCACAGGUUCUAGGGAUGUGGAUGUGGAUGUAUGUAUCGUUUAGGGCCACCAUUCAAUGCACUGCAAUCGGUAAUACCUUUUAAGCAUCUAGUAUAUACCAGGCAUUGUGCGAAGCCUGCCAGGCAACAGAGAUACUUGAGAUAAAAAUGCUACUCCCUGGAAACCUUGAGGCUCAUUUGAGAAUCUCUGUUUAAUUUCAAGCCUCCUCCCUCCCUUUAUUCCUUUUAAAGAUAGGUUUAUGGAGAUAUAAUUUACAUGCAGUAACCUUCACCCUGGUUAGGUAUCCACCUGAUGAAACAGGCUUAGAGAGGUAAAAUAAUUUGCUCCAGAAUACACAGGGAGGAAGUGGCAGAAUCUGGGAGUUGAGCCUAUGUUCCCUAUCACCAGGGCUUGCAUAUCAAACCAGCGGUCUCCAUGGUCUCCACUCUUUCUUUGGGUGCUUCCACCUCCUCCUCUGUCAGAUAAAAAGGCUGGCAAGAUGCUUUCUAGAGGAUCUGAGAGCUCUGACAUUGGAAACUGUCAUGGUGAAGUGCAGAGAAGCACUCUUUAUUCAAAGGAACCCUUCAGGACGAGGAGAAUCUUCCUGAGAUGGAAAUUUGUAUGCCUUCCAGAAGCAUUUGGCUGAUUUGUGUCUAUGUGCUGGUUAAAUGGAUUUACAGCUCAUGAUAUCUCAUUUCAAUUUAACUAAUCCUCACAAAAUGGACAAGUGAUUUAAGCGGUUCCGUGAAGGGACUGCAAGCUGAAGAUAAUAUUAAUGAGGCAAACCCGAGGGACCUGCGGGAGGAUGGCCGGCUGGAUGCUUCUGUGACUCCUGGUGCUUUUGCCGCUUUUCAGCGAAUGACUGGAUAAAAAUAAUGGCAGUCUAAUUACAUCAAUCACAGCAUUGGUUGAAAGACUUAAAAAAUUAUUGAGAAGACUAUUUGAAAUAUGGCCUUUCAUCCGCUGUGGUUAAUGAUGAGUCUCUCUUUGCAUCUUGACAUAACUGAUGAGGGUAUGAAGCCAUUGCAAUUAGCAAGACAUUAAGAAUUUUUUUCCCCAGCUGGUUAAAGGCAUGAUACUCAAUCCAGGCCUUUACAGAUUUUGGUUAAAACUCAUAAUUUUGAAUUUAUUACUUAAGAGCAAAAGUGGGAGGCCAUAAUCCAUUGGUCAAACGCUUGUUCCCCUUGCUAUGGUAAAAAGGGCUGAAGAAAUACCUGAAAACUACCCAGGGACACAUUAAAAUGGAUUCCGUAGUCAUUAAAUAUUGUUGCAAGAUUCAUAGACCUUGUUGCUGAAGAGUUGAAGGGACAGCAAACAAAUAAUCCAGUGUGAGAGAUUUGGUAUGCAAUUGGUGGAAAGUACAAUAUUUCCAGCACGUUUCAGCUUAUGCUGUUUCUAGAUUGCUCAUGUCAGUCAUGAAACACAUUGGUGGGCCCUUUCUUAUGAGCUCUUUAAGAAAAGAUGUGCCAGAAAAAAUUAUGUUCUCAACAGUAACUAAAUUUCUUUUUUUUUAAUUUUAAAUGUUUUUAUUUAUUUUUGAGACAGAGAGAGACAGAGCAUGAGCAGGGGAAGGGCAGGGAGAGGGGGAGACACAGAAUCUGAAGCAGCCUCCAGGCUCUGAGCCAUCAGCACAGAGCCCGACACGGAGCUUGAACUCACAGAGUGUGAGAUCAUGACCUGAGCUGAAGUCGGAUGCUCAACCGACUGAGCCAUCCAGGCGCCCCAGUAAAUGAAUUUCUUAACAAAAGCAAUACUUUGGGUAUGUAUGUCGAUUAGAGUGGAAAAAAAAUUUCAUGAGCUAGCACCCUAUGUGAAAUUUAUUUACUGCUUUGUCCACAGCAAGCUAUGUAAGCCAGGAAGUUUAAGCCGCAAAAGCACAGAGCACAACAGGCUCUCAUUGAUGUGGAUCAUUACAUAGAGGCAAGAAGUUUAAAAUAUGGCAGAAUCUUUAUAACACUUUGUAAUUAGAUAGGAACUUCGCCCGGAAAUAUUUUAUUCAAGAAGGGAUUCCCUUAUUCUCUGCUGGCCAAGUGUUUGAAAUGGCGAGUGAACAAAUUCAAGGGUUCAAAUUAUUUGAUCUUUUCCAGGCUGACAAGUAGCUGUCAGGAGUGAGCGAUAGCAGGUACAUUUGAAAAAAAAAAAAACACAAACAGUGCACUUAAGUUGUCCCCACAGGGUAGAUGUCACCACUUAAUAACGAGACAGUAACUGCCUUCUGGAGAAACGAGUAAGCUGUGGUGAGAUGCCAUCGUACGUACGUGCACCAAAAUGGCCAAAAUGAAAAAGAUGGACAAUACCAAGAGGAGGUGAGAAUGUGGAGCGCUCAGACCUCCAACCUUGGCCGGAAUGCAAAUUCUCGGAACCAGUCAGGCAACUGUUCGGCACGGUCUCAAAAGCAGAACAUAAGCAAACCCAGUGACCCAGCAAUUCCACUGCAGGCAUAUACCUGAUGGAAAUUCAAACACGCUCUUGGAAAAGGCAGGCUUUGCAAUGCACAUAGCAACACUGUUUCUAAUAUACUAACACUGAAAUUUAUCCAACGUCCCAUCAAAAGCAAAAUGGAUCAACUUAUUGUGCAUUGGCAGGAGACAAUCCCCUACCUGAUGAGAAUAAGUGAUCCAUGACAACUUCAGUGAUAUGGAUGAAUCUCACAAAUAAAGUUUUGAGCAAAAUGAGCCCGACA
ensembl:lncRNA